CUUGACGUUGUAUUCUAUUGUAAUUUUGUUUGUUUAAAACAUUUGACAGUAUGUAAGCAGCACUGAAACAAUCCGCAGUGAAAUGCAGCCUAGGUGCUAGCUAUACUAGGUUUUAAGCUAGCUUCCUUUUUUUAGCAGCCAUCCGAUUUGGAAAACUAUCAUUAACCAUCUUCCAAUAAUCUUUUGCUAUUCACUGGUAAUAAAGUUAUUGUAACAAACAGUAAGCUGUCUCUUAAAAAUAAACCCAAGUAUUUAAUUGGAGUUAAUGUGCAAUUAUCAACAAUUUACGUUUAAACUUUCAGGCGCCGCUGCAAACAUCGUCUCACAAUGAUGAUAAUUUCACAGACCUGUACUGAAUGACUGUGAUUGCACUCUAUUAUUCUGAUGUGAGACGAUUAUUUUAUGUUAAGAACUUUUUUUUUAAAGGCAUGUGUAAGAAAUUACCAACUUUCAGAUCACGCUGCGUGGAGCAGUCACGUGGUAGCUGAGCAGAGACUGAUGUGCUAGCAUGCUAAUGCUACAUUUGGUCAUUUUGAUCUCUUCCAGAACAUGAAAGACUUAAAAGGAACGCUAAAAAGCUCAGAAGAAUCAUGCAGGACCGUUUUCAAGGUUGUAGCAGAUCAACAUCUCUUCCUCAAAGGGACCUGAACAUUAAAUGUUGAAGAUUUCCAUGAAGCUGACAUGUCUACCAGCAACAUAUCAUGACGACUGGGUCUGAAGUAUUAAGUUGAGAUGCUUCAGCUGAUUCCAGCUCAAACAGAUGCGAUGCAGAUGAGGACCUUCUCUGUUGACGCUCCAUCGCCCGCUGGACUGCAAAUCCAGGUGGAGUUUAUCUGAUGUGGGGAUGGAGCUGCUUUAGGGAGGAACAACUUUGUCGAGCAAGGUUGGUCAAUAACACCAGGACAUCUUUAUCUGUCAGCUGACUACAGUUCAAGGCGACGUCACACUCCUGAAGCAUUGACGGGAGAAGCUUCUGUUCAACCAACUCCACGAUGGCUGGAUGGUCUGUGGUGCCUUUUUGAAGAAUGAAGUUUUGUUUUUUAAACUUUGAACAUUUAAUAAAAAAAUGUGUGCAACUUGA